rnacentral:lncRNA from 1 species
CUCUAUUCUAUCAUUGAGACCAGCUGCCCAUAUCCAUGAUUUGAAAAGAAGUUCCUGUCAUACAAUGUACGGCAAAUGGAGCAAUCUGAACCACUCCUGAUUUCAAUAUCAUGAGCAAAUGUACGGCAAAUUCCUGUCUUACAUAUUCUUUCCUUGCUUAUUAAUCAAUUGCAGCAGUUUUUGAUCCCCCCCCCCCCUAAUUUUAAUAUUUAACUAGCAGUGGUUAACAACAGUUUUGAUGGUAUUGUUAUUUUCACCCUUAGUGUUCUGUUCUUUCACUUUUGAAUGUGGUGGACUAGCUGGAUCUUAAAACUACACUUAGUUGGGAAUUUCCAUUUAAAUUUAGGGGUAUGAUGCUUUUGUUAGUACCACCCAGUCAAGGUACCAAAACACAAGUAAAUUGAGAAACUUUCAAUAAUUCAGAGUGCAUGUUUCCUCUUUUCUUUUAUGUUUCACUUUUUACCUCUUGUUUUU